AUCUACUAGGCCAUGCCACCCUGAACGAGCAUGGUCCCGUCCGAUUUCAGGAGCUAAGCAGGGUCGGACCUGGUUAGUACUUGGAUGGGAGACCACCUAGGAAGACCAGGUGCCGUAGGCG
rnacentral:rRNA from 1 species